rnacentral:rRNA from 1 species
AUUGAACGCUGGCGGCAGGCCUAACACAUGCAAGUAGAACGAGUGGCGGACGGGUGAGUAAUGUCUGGGAAACUGCCUGAUGGAGGGGGAUAACUACUGGAAACGGUAGCUAAUACCGCAUACCAUCAGAUGUUCCCAGAUGGGAUUAGCUUGGUGGUGGGGUAACGGCUCACCAAGGCGACGAUCCCUAGCUGGUCUGAGAGUAUGACCAGCCACACGGUAACUGAGACACGGGCCAGAUGCCUACGGGAGGCAGCAGUGGGGAAUAUUGCACAAUGGGCGCAAGCCUGAUGCAGCCAUGCCGCGUGUAUGAAGAAGGCCUUCGGGUUUUAAAGUACUUUCAGCGGGGAGGCGUUACCCGCAGAAGAAGCACCGGCUAACUCCGUGCCAGCCGCCGCGGUAAUUC